AGCAGCCGCGGUAAUUCCAGCUCCAAUAGCGUAUAUUAAAGUUGUUGCAGUUAAAAAGCUCGUAGUUGAAUUUCGGGACCAUCAUGUCGGUCGUGCCUCGGUACGUACUGGCAUUGUUGGUUUCUCCCUUCUGACGAACCAUGAUGUCAUUUAUUUGGUGUUGUGGGGAAUCAGGACUGUUACUUUGAAAAAAUUAGAGUGUUUAAAGCAGGCUCACGCUUGAAUACAUUAGCAUGGAAUAAUGAAAUAGGACGUUUGAUUCUAUUUUGUUGGUUUCUAGGAUCGACGUAAUGAUUAAUAGGGAUAGUUGGGGGCAUUAGUAUUCAAUUGUCAGAGGUGAAAUUCUUGGAUUUAUUGAAGACUAACUACUGCGAAAGCAUUUGCCAAGGAUGUUUUCAUUAAUCAAGAACGAAAGUUAGGGGAUCGAAGACGAUCAGAUACCGUCGUAGUCUUAACCAUAAACUAUGCCGACUAGGGAUCGGAUGAUGUUAAUUUUUUAAUGACUCAUUCGGCGCCUUACG
rnacentral:ncRNA from 2 species